rnacentral:lncRNA from 1 species
ACUGUCAAGUUAAUUAAAACAUAAUAUUUAUGUUUUGUUUUAUAAUAGAGUACUAAAACUAAAAUCUGAGUUUGUGGGGUGUUACCAGAGUGUUCAGGAAGGAGUUGUUGUGCUCUGCAAAACAAAAGAGAGGUCAGGGGGAAGAGUUUAUGAAAAGUACCAGUGUGAAGUACCAGAUCUCCUGUGACCAAGGUCCUAAACUCAAAAAUGUUAAAGGUGGCCAUAUAGGGGAGGCAAGUUCACACAGUUUGUUAUUAAUGAGAAUUAUCAUGCUAAACCUUACCUGCAAUGCCUAUGCCUCAUAAGCAGAAAUGAGAAGCUAGAUGUAAACAAAAAAGCCUAUGGAAUAAUUUAUGAACAGUAACUUUCUGGAAAAACUGAAGGAUAAUGAUACUCUUACUAUAGAUGUCCGAAGACAGAGAUGGAAAGUAAAACCUUCAUUUGUUAACAUCGGUAAGGUAACAUUAAUCUUUUCUGUGACAUGAAUAAAAAUA